GAUGAACGCUGGCGGCGUGCCUAAUACAUGCAAGUCGAGCGAACAGACGAGGAGCUUGCUCCUCUGACGUUAGCGGCGGACGGGUGAGUAACACGUGGAUAACCUACCUAUAAGACUGGGAUAACUUCGGGAAACCGGAGCUAAUACCGGAUAAUAUAUUGAACCGCAUGGUUCAAUAGUGAAAGACGGUUUUGCUGUCACUUAUAGAUGGAUCCGCGCCGCAUUAGCUAGUUGGUAAGGUAACGGCUUACCAAGGCAACGAUGCGUAGCCGACCUGAGAGGGAGCGGCGCCACUGUAGAUCUGAGACACGGCCCAGACUCAUGGGGGAGGCAGCAGUAGGGAAUUUCCCGAAAGGGGCAAACGCCUGACGGCGAAACGCCGCGUGAGUGAAAAAGGUUUGGGGAUCGAAAAACUCUGUUAUUGGAGAAAAAAAAAUGUGUGAGUAACUAUGCACGUCUUGACGGUACCUAAUCAGAGAGCCACGGCAAACUACG
rnacentral:rRNA from 1 species